CGUAAAGCGCACGCAGGCGGUUGUUAAGUCAGAUGUGAAAUCCCCGGGCUCAACCUGGGAACUGCAUCUGAUACUGGCAAGCUUGAGUCUCGUAGAGGGGGUAGAAUUCCAGGUGUAGCGGUGAAAUGCGUAGAGAUCUGGAGGAAUACCGGUGGCGAAGGCGGCCCCCUGGACGAAGACUGACGCUCAGGUGCGAAAGCGUGGGGAGCAAACAGGAUUAGAUACCCUGGUAG
rnacentral:rRNA from 1 species